AGAGGAGCUUGCUCCUCAGAACAGUGGCGGACGGGUGAGUAACACGUGAGCAACCUGGCUCUAAGAGGGGGACAACAGUUGGAAACGACUGCUAAUACCGCAUAACGUAUCGGGAUGGCAUCUUCCUGAUACCAAAGAUUUUAUCGCUUAGAGAUGGGCUCGCGUCUGAUUAGAUAGUUGGCGGGGUAACGGCCCACCAAGUCGACGAUCAGUAGCCGGACUGAGAGGUUGAACGGCCACAUUGGGACUGAGACACGGCCCAGACUCCUACGGGAGGCAGCAGUGGGGGAUAUUGGACAAUGGGGGCAACCCUGAUCCAGCGACGCCGCGUGAGGGAAGAAGGUUUUCGGAUUGUAAACCUCUGUUGACGGAGAAAAAAAUGAUGGUAUCCGUUUAGAAAGCCACGGCUAACUACGUGCCAGCAGCCGCGGUAAUACGUAGGUGGCAAGCGUUGUCCGGAAUUACUGGGUGUAAAGGGAGUGUAGGCGGGAUGUCAAGUCAGAAGUGAAAAUUACGGGCUCAACUCGUAACCUGCUUUUGAAACUGACAUUCUUGAGUGAAGUAGAGGCAAGCGGAAUUCCUAGUGUAGCGGUGAAAUGCGUAGAUAUUAG
rnacentral:rRNA from 1 species